GACAGAGGGGGCAAGCGUUGCUCGGAAUCACUGGGCGUAAAGCGCACGUAGGCGGCUUUUUAAGUCAGGGGUGAAAUCCUGGAGCUCAACUCCAGAACUGCCUUUGAUACUGAAGAUCUUGAGUCCGGGAGAGGUGAGUGGAACUGCGAGUGUAGAGGUGAAAUUCGUAGAUAUUCGCAAGAACACCAGUGGCGAAGGCGGCUCACUGGCCCGGUACUGACGCUGAGGCACGAAAGCGUGGGGAGCAAACAGG
rnacentral:rRNA from 1 species